CCUACGGGAGGCUGCAGUGGGGAAUAUUGCACAAUGGGGGAAACCCUGAUGCAGCAACGCCGCGUGAGCGAUGAAGGCCUUCGGGUCGUAAAGCUCUGUCCUAAGGGAAGAAUACUGACGGUACCUUAGGAGGAAGCCCCGGCUAACUACGUGCGAGCAGCCGCGGUAAUACGUAGGGGGGCUAGCGUUAUCCGGAAUUACUGGGCGUAAAGGGUGCGUAGGCGGCCAAUCAAGUCAGAGGUAAAAGGCUACGACACAACCGUAGUAAGCCUUGAAAAAUGUAGGGCUAGAGUGCAGGAGAAGAGAGUGGAAUACGCAGUGCAGCAGGGAAAUGCGUAGAUAUUAGGAGCAACACCAGUUGCGAAGGCGGCUCUCUGGACAGUAACUGACGCUGAGGCACGAAAGCGUGGAGAGCGAACAGGAUUAGAUACCCCAGUAGUC
rnacentral:rRNA from 1 species